rnacentral:rRNA from 1 species
UGGGGAAUAUUGGACAAUGGGCGAAAGCCUGAUCCAGCCAUGCCGCGUGUGUGAAGAAGGUCUUCGGAUUGUAAAGCACUUUAAGUUGGGAGGAAGGGCAGUAAGCUAAUACCUUGCUGUUUUGACGUUACCGACAGAAUAAGCACCGGCUAACUCUGUGCCAGCAGCCGCGGUAAUACAGAGGGGGCAAGCGUUAAUCGGAAUUACUGGGCGUAAAGCGCGCGUAGGUGGUUUGUUAAGUUGGAUGUGAAAGCCCCGGGCUCAACCUGGGAACUGCAUCCAAAACUGGCAAGCUAGAGUACGGAAGAGGGUGGUGGAAUUUCCUGUGUAGCGGUGAAAUGCGUAGAUAUAGGAAGGAACACCAGUGGCGAAGGCGACCACCUGGACUGAUACUGACACUGAGGUGCGAAAGCGUGGGGAGCAAACA